rnacentral:rRNA from 1 species
CUCCAGCUUGCUGGGGGGAUUAGUGGCGAACGGGUGAGUAACACGUGAGUAACCUGCCCUUGACUCUGGGAUAAGCCUGGGAAACUGGGUCUAAUACCGGAUAUGACUGCUCCGCGCAUGCGGUGGUGGUGGAAAGCUUUUGCGGUUUUGGAUGGACUCGCGGCCUAUCAGCUUGUUGGUGGGGUAAUGGCCUACCAAGGCGACGACGGGUAGCCGGCCUGAGAGGGUGACCGGCCACACUGGGACUGAGACACGGCCCAGACUCCUACGGGAGGCAGCAGUGGGGAAUAUUGCACAAUGGGCGAAAGCCUGAUGCAGCGACGCCGCGUGAGGGAUGACGGCCUUCGGGUUGUAAACCUCUUUCAGUAGGGAAGAAGCGUAAGUGACGGUACCUGCAGAAGAAGCGCCGGCUAACUACGUGCCAGCAGCCGCGGUAAUACGUAGGGCGCAAGCGUUAUCCGGAAUUAUUGGGCGUAAAGAGCUCGUAGGCGGUUUGUCGCGUCUGCUGUGAAAGACCGGGGCUCAACUCCGGUUCUGCAGUGGGUACGGGCAGACUAGAGUGAUGUAGGGGAGACUGGAAUUCCUGGUGUAGCGGUGAAAUGCGCAGAUAUCAGGAGGAACACCGAUGGCGAAGGCAGGUCUCUGGGCAUUAACUGACGCUGAGGAGCGAAAGCAUGGGGAGCGAACAGGAUUAGAUACCCUGGUAGUCCAUGCCGUAAACGUUGGGCACUAGGUGUGGGGGACAUUCCACGUUUUCCGCGCCGUAGCUAACGCAUUAAGUGCCCCGCCUGGGGAGUACGGCCGCAAGGCUAAAACUCAAAGGAAUUGACGGGGGCCCGCACAAGCGGCGGAGCAUGCGGAUUAAUUCGAUGCAACGCGAAGAACCUUACCAAGGCUUGACAUGAACUAGUAAAGCGCAGAAAUGUGUUCCCCUCUUGAGGCUGGUUACAGGUGGUG